rnacentral:rRNA from 1 species
GACCUGGCUCAGGAUGAACGCUAGCUACAGGCUUAACACAUGCAAGUCGAGGGGGCAGCAUGAACUUAGCUUGCUAAGUUUGAUGGCGACCGGCGCACGGGUGAUAACACGUAUCCAACCUUCCGUUUACUCAGGGAUAGCCUUUCGAAAGAAAGAUUAAUACCUGAUAGUAUGGUGAGAUUGCAUGAUAGCACCAUUAAAGAUUUAUUGGUAAACGAUGGGGAUGCGUUCCAUUAGGUAG